CAGCAGGGUUGGGGGCUGGCCAGCUGCUCGUCCGCCCUAGGUAGCUUGCUCAUCUGUAAAGUGGGUGGGGCAGGAGUUCCCACCUCAUGGGGUCCUGGCAAGCCUGCAGUAUCCCCGAGUGGCACCAGCCUGCUUCUGGGGCAGAGCAGUUUGUGCCCCCUGAGGUACCACUGAUCCUCUUUCCCUGCUAUUAGGUAUUGCUCUCUUCCUCCGGUGUUUGCCUUUUCAGAUUAUAGAAGUAAUAUGUGUUCCCAUAUUUGGCGUCUCUCAGGAGCUCAGGAAGUACUUGGCUGAGUGAACAUGUCCAUUGUGGAAAAAUGGCAACAAUAUGGAUUCCAUGGGUAUAUUUUAUAGAAGAAUAUGAAGAAAAGCAGCUACCCCUAAACCCAUUGCACAAGCUGUUCAUGUUAAUUCUGUACCCGACGCUUUCCCCACGGGGCCUCCCCUCACUCUGAAAUGGCAUCCAGGUCCAUCUUGCCCUCCACCUCUGCAUGGCUCUCCAUGCCCCAUCGCCUCUCCCAGAUCCUAGCACUGGGUCCACACUCUCGCCCUGUCCAUUUAGGUUGAUGAAAGCAGGCAGUCACCCGGGUGGGCCAGUCUUGCCUGUGGGAGGAACAUGCAGUCUCCUGUCUCAUGGUUUGAAGUGUGCCAGGAAGCCUGGCCCAGCCCACCUCCCCCUGGAGUCCUUCCCAGGAGGAAUAACCCCUUAGGUCAUUGACUAUAAGAUGAGUUCGCUCACUGGAUCCUUCCUCUCUGAUGAGACAGGAAGAAGGUACACAGUGACCAGAAUGGCUGAGCUUUCAUGGAAAGGAAGCUGGACCCAAGCAACAGCCGACUACCGAAGGUUGCCUGGAGCAGUGCAGAUGUGGGAGGAAGAAGGGCCUUGGUGCACACUGGCUUUUCUUCCUGACUGCAAUGUGGCAUUGUGCCAGCUACCUCCUCUUUCUCGGCCUCAGGAAAAUGGAGAGAAAGCAGCCCUGAAGGUGGCUGUGACGAGGGAAGGGGCAGAGGGCCUGACAGUCAACCACGCGCUAUAUUUUCCUGUUCUUCCUUAGGGCAAGAACUGCAUGGCCAGACUCAGGCAAGGCCUAGGUGUGGGCUGGGCAUUGCCUACACGUGAAGAGAUCACUCCGCGUCCCUACUGCACCUGUCACAAAGUGCCUUCUGAUAUGCCUGGCAAACCAAAAUCGGUGAGCGCCAGCUUGCUUCCCUAGAAGACAUUUCUAAAUAUUCAUAACAUGCUUGCUCAAAUCAAUCACCUUAUUUUACAUCCGCUCCAGGGAGAAAUGAAGACAUGGUCCUACGUUGUUCUGUAAUUAUUUUCUAUGUAAAUUUUGUUCCUUGUUACAAUUAUAUAUGUCUUAGGGGAAAGGACCAUUUCACAUGUGUCACCUCAUGUGAUUCUCACCACAGCCCUGUGAUUGCUCCUGUUUUAUAAAUAAUGACAUAGUUCCAGUUGAUGGCCAAAGCCACAGCUAACGAGAGGCAGAGAGAGCUCAGGCUCCCAGGAGCUUCCACUCUCAGACCUUGCCUCCCGGGCUGCCCUGAGUGAAACGCCUGCUUAGCAUUUGGCACAGCCAGAAGCAGCAAGCUAGGGUCACAACACAGAGAGGGGCUGUGUAAUACUGGCUGCCUCUGUGCUAAGAAAAAAAAAAAAUCACUGUGUGUUUGUUUAUUUUGGUGCAGGCCCAGUGUUCUUGCUUAGACUUAAUACUACCCUUCAUGUUAAAAUAAAACCAAACAAAAACCCA
rnacentral:lncRNA from 10 species